UAUUUUGAGAGUUUGAUCCUGGCUCAGGAUGAACGCUGGCGGCGUGCCUAACACAUGCAAGUCGAGCGGAGCUUUAAUCUUUACAGCUUAGCUGAAAAGAUUAAAGCUUAGCGGCGGACGGGUGAGUAACGCGUGGGCAACCUGCCCUGUGCAGGGGGAUAACACAACGAAAGGUGUGCUAAUACCCCAUAAGACUACGAUGUCGCAUGGC
rnacentral:ncRNA from 1 species